rnacentral:rRNA from 1 species
UACAGAGGUGGCAAGCGUUGUUCGGAAUUACUGGGCGUAAAGGGCGCGUAGGCGGCCUACUAAGUCAGACGUGAAAUCCCCCGGCUUAACCUGGGAACUGCGUCUGAUACUGGAAGGCUUGAGGAUGGGAGAGGGAUGUAGAAUUCCAGGUGUAGCGGUGAAAUGCGUAGAUAUCUGGAGGAAUACCGGUGGCGAAGGCGGCAUCCUGGACCAUUACUGACGCUGAGGCGCGAAAGCGUGGGGAGCAAAAGGG